rnacentral:tRNA from 1 species
GGUAGCGUAGCUGAGUUGUGAUAAGACGCUGGUUUAAGGCACUAGUCUCUUCGGAGGUGUGGGUUCGAAUCCUAGCGCUGCCA